rnacentral:rRNA from 1 species
CCUACGGGAGGCAGCAGUGGGGAAUUUUCCGCAAUGGGCGAAAGCCUGACGGAGUGACGCCGCGUGGGGGACGAAGGCCUUCGGGUCGUAAACCCCUGUCAGAGGGAGAGAAGGGUCGCGCGGUGAACAGCCGCGUGAUUUGACGGUACCUUCAGAGGAAGCCCCGGCCAACUCUGUGCCAGCAGCCGCGGUAAGACAGAGGGGGCAAGCGUUGCUCGGAAUCACUGGGCGUAAAGGGCGCGUAGGCGGGAUGGCAAGUCGGUCGUGAAAUCCCUCGGCUCAACCGAGGAGCGUCGGCCGAUACUGCCGUUCUUGAGGGAUGCAGAGGAGACUGGAAUUCCCGGUGUAGCGGUGAAAUGUGUAGAGAUCGGGAGGAACACCGGUGGCGAAGGCGGGUCUCUGGGCAUCUCCUGACGCUGAGGCGCGAAAGCGUGGGGAGCAAACGGGAUUAGAUACCCCGGUAGUCCACGCUGUAAACGAUGACGACUAGGUGUGGGGUGGUUCAGUCCAUUCCGUGCCGCAGCUAACGCAUUAAGUCGUCCGCCUGGGGAGUACGGCCGCAAGGUUGAAACUCAAAGGAAUUGACGGA